rnacentral:tRNA from 1 species
CCCUGGGUGGUGCAGUGGUUAACACGCUAGGCUGCUAACCAAAAGGCUAGAGGUUUGAGUCCACCCAGGGG